rnacentral:rRNA from 1 species
UACGAAGGGGGCUAGCGUUGCUCGGAAUCACUGGGCGUAAAGCGCACGUAGGCGGAUUGUUAAGUCAGGGGUGAAAUCCUGGAGCUCAACUCCAGAACUGCCUUUGAUACUGAAGAUCUUGAGUUCGGGAGAGGUGAGUGGAACUGCGAGUGUAGAGGUGAAAUUCGUAGAUAUUCGCAAGAACACCAGUGGCGAAGGCGGCUCACUGGCCCGAUACUGACGCUGAGGCACGAAAGCGUCGGGAGCAAA